AUAACACACAGUGCCCAUGUGCAUGCUCCACUAUCUCAAGCCACUGUCACCCUGGAUCUUCUGCAGCACUGGCUGGGCCAUAAGAAUGAAAAUGGAUUUUGUCUUCUGGAGAAAAAGUUUCUGAAGUUCCUUAGGGACCUGUCCUCCUUUCCUGGAGGAAACUGGAAGUCUUUUCCUUGAUCCCAGAACAGAAGAAAAUUGCAGCUAACAAGGG